GGAUACCGCUUUCACGUUGGAAAAACGGAAAGCUGGAAACGGUCCGCCGCCGGAGGACGUGACUGCGGCCGAUUAGGUAGACGGUGGGGUAACGGCCCACCGUGCCAAUAAUCGGUACGGGUUGUGAGAGCAAGAGCCCGGAGACGGAAUCUGAGACAAGAUUCCGGGCCCUACGGGGCGCAGCAGCCGCGAAACCUUUACACUGCACGACAGUGCGAUAAGGGGAUCCCGAGUGCGAGGGCAUACAGUCCUCGCUUUUCGUGACCGUAAGGUGGUCACAGAAUAAGGGCUGGGCAAGACCGGUGCCAGCCGCCGCGGUAAUACCGGCAGCCCGAGUGAUAGCCAAUUUUAUUGGGCCUAAAGCGUCCGUAGCCGGCCGAACGGGUCCGUCGGGAAAUCCACCCGCUUAACGGGUGGGCGUCCGGCGGAAACCAGUCGGCUUGGGGCCGGGAGACCAGAGGGGUACGUCCGGGGUAGGAGUGAAAUCCUGUAAUCCUGGACGGACCACCGGUUGCGAAAGCGCCUCUGGAGAACGGACCCGACGGUGAGGGACGAAAGCUAGGGUCUCGAACCGGAUUAGAUACCCGGGUAGUCCUAGCCGUAAACGAUGCUCGCUAGGUGUGACGCAGGCUACGAGCCUGCGUUGCGCCGUAGGGAAGCCGAGAAGCGAGCCGCCUGGGAAGUACGUCCGCAAGGAUGAAACUUAAAGGAAUUGGCGGGGGAGCACUACAACCGGAGGAGCCUGCGGUUUAAUUGGACUCAACGCCGGACAUCUCACCGGCACCGACAACGUGCAGUGACGGUCAGUUUGAUGAGCUUACCUGAGCCGUUGAGAGGAGGUGCAUGGCCGCCGUCAGCUCGUACCGUGAGGCGUCCUGUUAAGUCAGGCAACGAGCGAGACCCGCGUCCAUAAUUGCCAGCAGCACCCUUGUGGUGGCUGGGUACAUUAUGGAGACUGCCGUCGCUAAGACGGAGGAAGGAACGGGCAACGGUAGGUCAGUAUGCCCCGAAUGUGCCGGGCGACACGCGGGCUACAAUGGCCAGGACAGUGGGACGCUACCCCGAGAGGGGACGCUAAUCUCCUAACCCUGGUCGUAGUUCGGAUUGCGGAUUGAAACUCAUCCGCAUG
rnacentral:rRNA from 1 species